rnacentral:rRNA from 1 species
GAUGAACGCUGGCGGCGUGCCUAAUACAUGCAAGUCGAGCGAACAGAUGAGGAGCUUGCUCCUCUGACGUUAGCGGCGGACGGGUGAGUAACACGUGGAUAACCUACCUAUAGGACUGGGAUAACUUCGGGAAACCGGAGCUAAUACCGGAUAAUAUAUUGAACCGCAUGGUUCAAUAGUGAAAGACGGUUUUGCUGUCACUUAUAGAUGGAUCCGCGCCGCAUUAGCUAGUUGGUAAGGUAACGGCUUACCAAGGCAACGAUGCGUAGCCGACCUGAGAGGGUGAUCGGCCACACUGGAACUGAGACACGGUCCAGACUCCUACGGGAGGCAGCAGUAGGGAAUCUUCCGCAAAGGGCGAAAGCCUGACGGAGCAACGCCGCGUGAGUGAUGAAGGUCUUCGGAUCGUAAAACUCUGUUAUUAGGGAAGAACAAAUGUGUAAGUAACUAUGCACGUCUUGACGGUACCUAAUCAGAAAGCCACGGCUAACUACGUG